GGGCAAUAAAGACGGCAAACCCAGCCAGGAGCAAGGUCUGCAAGACACCAACACUCUUCAAGGCAAACGGGUAGUAAGCGCUGGCGCGGCUGCGGGACGAAUCCACGCCAGAACAGGAAGCUACAUCGGAAGGGACAGAACCAUGUUUAGAGGG
rnacentral:ribozyme from 15 species